GGAGGGAAGGCGGAUCGGGCUCAAGAUGGCUUUAGCCCGGCUCUGCGCCCUGCUAGCCUGCUGCUGCUGCUGGCUCCCGGCUGCCGCUGCCGGGCCCGCGGAGGCGGACGGGGACCCGUCCAAGGAGCUGGAGUGCAAGCUCAAGAGCAUCACGGUGUCGGCGCUGCCCUUCCUGCGGGAGAACGACCUGAGCAUCAUGCACAGCCCCUCGGCCUCGGAGCCCAAGCUGCUCUUCUCGGUGCGCAACGACUUCCCCGGGGAGAUGGUGGUGGUGGAUGAUCUGGAGAACACCGAGCUGCCCUACUUUGUGCUGGAGAUCUCGGGGAACACAGAAGACAUUCCCCUGGUGCGUUGGAGGCAGCAGUGGCUGGAGAAUGGCACGUUGCUCUUCCACAUCCACCACCAAGAUGGCACCCCCAGCCUGCCUGGUGCUGACCCCACUGAAGAGCCUCAGACUGAGUCAGCGGAAGAGGAACUAAGGAUCCUUCACAUCUCCGUCAUGGGGGGCAUGAUUGCCCUGCUACUCUCCAUCCUGUGCCUAGUGAUGAUCCUCUACACCCGCCGGCGUUGGUGCAAGCGGCGCCGGGUGCCGCAGCCCCAGAAGAGUGCCAGCGCAGAGGCGGCCAACGAAAUCCACUACAUCCCCUCGGUCCUGAUUGGGGGUCACGGACGGGAGAGCCUACGCAAUGCCCGCGUGCAAGGCCACAACUCCAGCGGCACGCUGAGCAUCCGCGAGACCCCCAUCCUGGACGGCUAUGAGUACGACAUCACUGACCUGCGUCACCACCUGCAGCGCGAGUGCAUGAACGGCGGCGAGGACUUUGCCAGCCAGGUCACGAGGACGUUGGAUUCGCUGCAGGGCUGCAAUGAGAAGUCUGGCAUGGAUCUCACGCCAGUUUUUGCCUUAAAUUCUUCCUGCUCAGGAAGCGACAAUGCCAAGCUGUCUUUGAUGAACAAGUACAAGGAUAACAUCAUUGCUACCAGCCCCGUGGACUCCAACCACCAGCAAGCUACCCUGUUGUCUCACACUUCCAGUAGCCAGCGGAAACGGAUCAAUAACAAAGCACGAGCUGGCUCAGCAUUUCUAAACCCCGAAGGAGAUUCUGGGACAGAGGCUGACAACGACCCCCAGCUAACGUUUUAUACGGACCCAUCCCGGAGCAGGCGGCGCAGCAGAGUGGGCUCACCGAGAAGUCCCGUCAACAAGACCACGCUGACCCUGAUCAGCGUCACCAGCUGCGUGAUCAGCCUGGUGUGCUCGUCCCACAUGAGCUGCCCGCUCAUCGUCAAGAUCACCCUGCACGUCCCGGAGCACCUCAUUGCCGAUGGGAGCCGCUUUAUCCUGCUGGAGGGCAGCCAGCUGGAUGCCAGCGACUGGCUAAACCCUGCCCAGGUCGUCCUGUUCUCCCAACAGAACUCCAGCGGGCCCUGGGCACUGGACCUCUGUGCCCGACGACUUCUUGACCCGUGUGAACACCAGUGUGAUCCAGAAACUGGUGAGUGUCUUUGCUAUGAGGGUUACAUGAAGGACCCGGUGCACAAGCAUCUCUGCAUCCGGAACGAGUGGGGCACGAACCAGGGGCCGUGGCCAUAUACAAUAUUCCAGCGUGGAUUUGACUUGGUGCUGGGAGAGCAGCCUUCUGAUAAGAUCUUUAGGUUCACCUACACCCUGGGGGAAGGGAUGUGGCUGCCACUGAGUAAGAGCUUUGUGAUCCCGCCUGCCGAACUGGCCAUCAACCCCUCAGCCAAGUGCAAAACGGACAUGACAGUGAUGGAGGAUGCGGUGGAGGUCAGGGAAGAACUGAUGACUUCCUCCUCCUUUGAUAGCCUGGAGGUUCUCUUAGACUCCUUUGGACCGGUUCGAGACUGCUCCAAGGACAACGGGGGCUGCAGCAAGAAUUUCCGCUGCAUCUCGGACCGCAAAUUGGACUCCUCUGGUUGUGUGUGCCCAGCAGGUCUCAGCCCUAUGAAGGAUGGCACCGGCUGCUAUGACCGCCAUGUUGGGGUGGACUGUUCGGAUGGGUUCAAUGGUGGCUGCGAGCAGCUGUGUCUCCAGCAGAUGGUGCCUCUGCUGGAAGAUCCCUCUCUGUACAAUAUCCUCAUGUUCUGCGGGUGCAUUGAGGAUUACAAACUUGGAGUGGAUGGGCGGUCGUGCCAGCUGAUCUCGGAGUCCUGUCCAAAGGGAGGUGACUGCGGGGAGAGCCGGGAGCUGCCCAUGAAUCAGACUCUGUUUGGGGAAAUAUUCUACGGGUACAACAACCAUUCCAGGGAGGUUGCAGCUGGACAAGUGCUGAAAGGGACCUUCAGGCAGAACAACUUCGCUCGGGGCUUGGAGCAGCAGCUUCCAGAUGGCCUGGUGGUGGCCACUGUCCCACUGGAGAACCAGUGCCAGGAGCAGAUCUCUGAGCCCACGCCCGACCCAGGCUUUCUGACUGGGAUGGUGAAUUUCAGCGAGGUCUCUGGAUACCCAUUGCUGCAGCACUGGAAGGUGCGUUCCGUCAUGUACCACGUCCGUCUCAACCAGCUGACCAUCUCCCAGUCUUUCAGCAACGCCCUCCACUCUCUCGAUGGAGCCACCUCCCGAGGUGAUUUCGUGGCCCUGCUAGACCAGUUUGGCAACCACUACAUCCAGGAGGCAGUCUAUGGCUUUGAGGAAUCCUGCUCCAUCUGGUAUCCCAAUAAGCAGGUUCAGCGGCAGCUCUGGCUGGAGUACGAAGACAUAAGCAAAGGCAAUUCCCCCUCUGACGAGUCCGAGGAGCGAGAGCGGGACCCCAAGGUUCUCACCUUCCCCGAAUACAUUGCCAGCCUGUCCGAGUCGGGCACCAAGCGGAUGGCAGCUGGGGUCCGCAUGGAGUGCCAGAGCAGAGGCCACUGCCCCUCCUCAUGCCCACUUUGCCAUGUGACUUCGAGCCCAGACACGCCAGCCGAGCCAAUUCUGCUGGAGGUCACCAAAGCAGCACCCAUCUAUGAGCUGGUCACCAACAACCAAACCCAGAGGUUGUUGCAGGAGGCCACCAUGAGCACCCUGUGGUGUUCCGGGAGUGGGGAUGUCAUUGAAGACUGGUGCCGGUGCGACUCGAGUGCUUUUGGCGCCGACGGGCUCCCGACCUGCGCACCCCUCCCACACCCGGUGCUGCGGCUCUCCACGGUACACGAGCCCAGCAGCACCUUGGUGGUGUUGGAAUGGGAGCACUCAGAGCCGCCAAUCGGAGUGCAGAUCGUCGAUUACCUCAUCCGUCAGGAGAAGAUCACCGACCGGAUGGAUCAUUCCAAAGUGGAGACGGAGACGGUGCUGAGUUUGGUGGAUGACAUCAUCUCCGGAGCCAAAUCCCCCUGCGCGAUGCCAGCACAAGUACCCGACAAGCUGUCCACCACCAUCUCCUUGAUCAUUCGCUGCCUGGAGCCUGACACCACCUACACGUUCACGCUUUGGGGAGUUGAUAACACGGGGAGACGCUCCAGGUCAAGUGAUGUGACGGUCAAGACCCCAUGCCCCGUGGUAGAUGAUGUGAAGGCUCAAGAAAUAGCAGACAAGAUCUACAAUCUCUUCAAUGGCUACACCAGCGGCAAGGAGCAGCAGACAGCCUACAACACUCUGCUGGACCUGGGCUCGCCCAGCCUGCACCGGGUCCUCUACCACUACAACCAGCACUACGAGAGCUUUGGGGAGUUCACCUGGCGGUGUGAAGAUGAAUUAGGACCCAGGAAGGCCGGCCUCAUUCUCUCCCAGCUUGGGGACCUCAGUGGCUGGUGCAACAGCCUCCUUCAGGAGCCCAAGAUCAGCCUCCAACGCACGUCGCUCAGGUAUCUUGCCUGCCGCUACAGCGAGAUCAAGCCGUACGGACUUAACUGGUCGGAGCUGAGCCGGGACCUCAAGAAGACUUGCGAAGAGCAAGCGCUAAGCGUCCUCUAUAAUGACUAUGGAGACAAAGACAACUGAGGGGUUGAGGAACCACUCUCAGGCCCCUAAGAGGCAAGCAGGAGAAAAGAGCAUUUGUGGGAGUUCUAUAAAUGGAUCUGCAGGAGGUGCAGCAGUGUAGGAGGCUUUGUCAGCCUAGAGAGAGGAACAAUGCCAAGAAACCCCUGCAUCUGCCGGACACUGGGCACUCACAAAUCAGCUACCACGGCAGGUGUCCCACUUGGGACUGGGCUUCACAGCCAUUUCCAGAUUGCUUCUGCUCUUCGCAUUUUGAACUACUUGCAUCACAAAGCCCCCCCACCAGGCAGCCCUGCCUUCCCAAGAAGCCCCUGGUCCUAUCACAGUGACUAUACAUGGCAAAGCCCUAAUUGGUUAGCCAGUCCAAGCCCUGGCCAGCAUAGGAGUAUCUCUGGUCCUGGUGUCCCCUGUACGCUCCAGCACUAAAAGGACUGAGGCACUGGGGUUCCUAGCAGACCUCUGUGGUUGACCUCACAGGAGAGUGUUGCUUGCUGAGCAUCACAUACCACCCUGCAACACCAUGGUAAGCCCAGCUUCCAGGUGCUGGGACAGCACGAGUAUUAUUUGAAAUACAGGAUAGGCCACAUGGGGAACAUUUAUUGAUAUUACACUAACACCUGGAUGCUCCAACUGAGCCAGAGUCCCCAUUUUGCUGGGUGCUGAACAUGUGCAGAGUGGGCGCUUACAAGCUAAGUAGACAAAGGGCGAGAGGGGACUUGACUUGCUUGCCCGCCCAACGGCACGCAGUAGGACAGUGGCAGAGCCACAUCUAGAACCCAGAUCACUCGACUCCCAGUCCAGGGCCCUACCCACUAGACUCUGCUGCCUGCCUGUGGUGCUGAACAAAAGCAGGAGUGUCACCCACUUACUAUCAUUAUUUCUCAGCACCAUUGCCAUGCAUGGCCCUUCCAGGGCAGACGCAUCAAGGGUUGCAACUGUGCCUCUUGCUGGUGCAGGAUAAGGUGAGGCGGCCUUGGAGCCCAGUGACAAGUCCCCCUCUUCCCAGCCCUGCACAAGUGAGAAUACAAGCUGACGUGAGCGGCUGGAGGAGGAGGACAGACUGCGGCUCAGUGCUGUCUUUUGCCAAGGUCCCCUAAUGCACAGGUUUUAAUGCCAGUUUCUUUAUUCUCAGGGGUCUGGUUUCCUUGGUGGGAGGGAUCAUGACCCUGAUUGUACUUUAUGGCAGCUAAUCCUGAAUUAACAGUUCAACAGAUGCUUUAAGACACGGAACAUUUUAAACUAGAGCUGGCUGUUUAUUAGAGUGUCCUGGCACCAAACACAAGCAUCUGCAUUGCAGUCUAGCUGCACUGCAGUUGCACAUGACCUGCUGACCAAAUCACCCAUUGAUUUCCAUGGAGACCAUUGGCUUCUGGGCCAUUGCUGUAAACCAGCUGGAAGUCUGGCCCCAACAGGUCUAGGUUCCAGAUUCACAAAAAGUACCUAGUUGCUUAGCUCCCCUUGAAAUCGCUGGGCAUUAGGUGCCUAAAUGCCAUUGUGAAUCUGGGCCACAGUCACAUACCACAUUUGCUCAUGGGGGAAAUUCUUAGAUGCAACUGGGUCUUGUCAAUGGCCAUGAUAGAUGUGCGGAAAAUGACAAAUGGCAUUAACAAAGUAUUAACCCUUUAAAAGAUGGCAUUGAGCAGGCUGCCAACCAGCUGAAUGCUUUUCUAUGUCUGUGGCCACACUCUCCCCCUUCCUUGUUUUCCUCCUGCAUUAAUGGCGGUUGAUUCACUUGAGACGAACCUCCGAGUUAUUUCUUGGCUGUAGCUGUAGUGCUGUAAUAGCAUUAAUAUCUUUUACUUGUUGUGCAAUUAUUUAACAUGAAGAUGGUUGGGCUGUUUUUUUCUUUUUUUAAUUACUACAGUUCUUGUUUCUUGAUGUUCUAUUAGAACUCUGUGAUGUUUUACUACUGUAGAUUGAAAGUGGGGGGAGGGGGGAGAAAUGGCAAAACCAUGAGGAAUUACAGUAUUAUUUAAAAAGGUUUAAAAAAAAUAAUUGUAACACUGUAAAAAUCCAGAUGAAAAUUUAGUUGACGAUU